AACGUAGGUGGCGAGCGUUAUCCGGAUUUACUGGGCGUAAAGCAUGUGCAGACGGGUUGGUAAGUGGUGUAUGAAAGCGUCCGGCUUAACCGGGCAAGGGUAUGCCAGACUGCCAGUCUUGAGAAUGGGAGGAGGGAUGUGGAAUUCCGGGUGUAGUGGUGAAAUGCGUAGAGAUCGUAAGGAAGGCCAGUGGCAAAGGCGAGUUCCUGGACAGUUA
rnacentral:rRNA from 1 species